rnacentral:rRNA from 1 species
UGAAUUAUUCACCCUUGUCUUUUGCGUACUUCUUGUUUCCUUGGUGGGUUCGCCCACCACUAGGACAAACAUAAACCUUUUGUAAUUGCAAUCAGCGUCAGUAACAAAUUAAUAAUUACAACUUUCAACAACGGAUCUCUUGGUUCUGGCAUCGAUGAAGAACGCAGCGAAAUGCGAUAAGUAGUGUGAAUUGCAGAAUUCAGUGAAUCAUCGAAUCUUUGAACGCACAUUGCGCCCUUUGGUAUUCCAAAGGGCAUGCCUGUUCGAGCGUCAUUUGUACCCUCAAGCUUUGCUUGGUGUUGGGCGUCUUGUCUCUAGCUUUGCUGGAGACUCGCCUUAAAGUAAUUGGCAGCCGGCCUACUGGUUUCGGAGCGCAGCACAAGUCGCACUCUCUAUCAGCAAAGGUCUAGCAUCCAUUAAGCCUUUUUUUUCAACUUUUGACCUCGGAUCAGGUAGGGAUACCCGCUGAACUUAAGCAUAU